rnacentral:rRNA from 1 species
CGGCAGGCCUAACACAUGCAAGUCGAGCGGAUGACGGGAGCUUGCUCCCGAAUUCAGCGGCGGACGGGUGAGUAAUGCCUAGGAAUCUGCCUGGUAGUGGGGGACAACGUCUCGAAAGGGACGCUAAUACCGCAUACGUCCUACGGGAGAAAGUGGGGGAUCUUCGGACCUCACGCUAUCAGAUGAGCCUAGGUCGGAUUAGCUAGUUGGUGAGGUAAUGGCUCACCAAGGCGACGAUCCGUAACUGGUCUGAGAGGAUGAUCAGUCACACUGGAACUGAGACACGGUCCAGACUCCUACGGGAGGCAGCAGUGGGGAAUAUUGGACAAUGGGCGAAAGCCUGAUCCAGCCAUGCCGCGUGUGUGAAGAAGGUCUUCGGAUUGUAAAGCACUUUAAGUUGGGAGGAAGGGCAUUAACCUAAUACGUUGAUGUUUUGACGUUACCGACAGAAUAAGCACCGGCUAACUCUGUGCCAGCAGCCGCGGUAAUACAGAGGGUGCAAGCGUUAAUCGGAAUUACUGGGCGUAAAGCGCGCGUAGGUGGUUUGUUAAGUUGGAUGUGAAAGCCCCGGGCUCAACCUGGGAACUGCAUCCAAAACUGGCAAGCUAGAGUAGGGCAGAGGGUGGUGGAAUUUCCUGUGUAGCGGUGAAAUGCGUAGAUAUAGGAAGGAACACCAGUGGCGAAGGCGACCACCUGGGCUCAUACUGACACUGAGGUGCG